CAGAAUAUAAGCAGGGACAAGCAGGAAAUUGCUUUCUGCCUCAUCCUCUCUUCUCUGGGAGCUGCCAUGUGGGCCCGAUAAGAGAGGACACAUGCUGCCAGCGUGCUUGAUCAGAUAAGAGACGUGUGUAGAACCUUCUCUGAGGGGUGACAAGUUGAGAACUGGAGGAUGAGAACACCAUGGAGCUUAGAAAAACAAAACCAAUUAUAACUUCAAACAAGAACUGGAAUCGAUGCUAACGAGGCAGAGAGAUCAAACAGCACAGGGGCACUUGGUAGAAAGAAGAAGCCUUCUCCACCUGCAAGUCUGAAUCAUUCUUGUUUUUUGUUUUUCAGUACAGGGUUUCUCUGUAGCUUUGGAGCCUUCCUGGAACUUUCUCUGUAGACCAGGCUGGCCUUGAACUCACAGAGGUCCACCUGCCUCUGCCUCCCAAGUGCCACCAUUGCCGGGCUGUAAACCAUUCUUUUCUUGCUUACAGACAGGAAACUGAAUCCCAGCAAGGCAAGGAGACUUUAAGUCCACAUGCCCCACCAGCAUCUCCUUCCCAGACUGGAGCACCAUCACCUCUCACCAUUGCUGAGCAGCAAGAAGAUAAAGCAAAGUCUAGUUUCUGCCCUGGCAAGCCCUCCAGCACUCUCCAGUGCAGCUUAUAGUGGCCAUUGUGCUGUCCACGUAGUUCAACCUUGCUUGUCUUCAUCCCAGACUUUGUUCUGUGUGAGCAUGGACAGAUUCAUUAACUUUAUUCAGUUUUGAAGUUGGAAUAAUGCCAACCUCAUAGAGGUCCAAGAAUGAGAAAAAAAAACCUGCUUAUUAUAAUUGAAAUGUCUCUGAAAAGAUGUGGCCACACUAAAUGAUUAUAAAAUGUUCAAUAACCUACAUAUGCUACAUAUAGUAUGUAAAAUUAUUAUCACUGAAUUGUAUUCCCAUUCUUAUCUAUCUGUUGAUACAUUUAUUCAAUAAAAUCUUAUUAUACAAUCAGCUUGAGCAAUCACUAUGUUGGCAUAUGGUUGCAAGCAGUCCAGAUAGUAUUUCUUAUAUUAGGCAGGUCUUCUUGAAAAACACAAACAAAAGAAUGUAUUUUUCUCUAGAAAGUUUCAAUGAAAGGAAUCAGAGAAAAUGGCCAAAUUUGCAGAUUGAAUUGUAAGUAUGAGAGAGCCCAGAAGACUGGGGUAACCGUCGGGAAGUCAGCAAGCUUCGAGUCAGCUGGGUUUGGUUUGAGAUGGAAAGAAGCCAGUGUCCUGGCCCAAAGGCAGUCAGAGAAGAAGAAUUUUCCUGUCCGAGGGAGGCAAGACUUUUCACUCCAAUCGAGUUGGCAGAUAAAGCUAAGCAUCACAUUCCUCAUGAAGCUUCCCAUCCGUUUAGGAGAAACCAUGAUUCACAUAUAAUCACAAAGCUUUCAAGGGGUCUGAGUCUAACAAAGCAAGCUGCCAGGUGUGAAGAUAAAGGUAGAACCAUGUGACCAUGAAACUGUGACAUUCAUAGACUUGAGGCCAGGAACCUCCAGGCAGUAGGGAGUGCAUAGACCUCAAGACCUAGGAGGUUCUGAGGAUCCGAAAGGGCUGUGUGGCUGAAACACAGAAAGGAGGGGGUUGUGUGUGAGACAUGAACAGACAGAGUGAGAACCUUGGGAAACACAUCGACUCUUUUGAGGAGGAGGCUCAGAAGUAUGGGGCCAGUACAGGAGGCUGAAGGGAUGUCCGUGUUAAAGAAAUGCAGUCUAUUUAAAACAUGGUAAGUCCAUUAGUAAUUUGAUCUCUCGGGUUGUGAGGGAUCUCAUACCAUUUUGUUUAAUAUUUGAACACAUAGACAGAUGUUAACUGAUUAUUGUGACUCUAUACUCUUCUAUAUGAACAUUUCUGCAUUGCAUCUGAUAAAUUUGUUUUUUUUAUAGCUGUACAAUAUUCCAUCAUGGUUCCCACCAUGGAAUCUCUGGUUCUCAUGUACCCUUCUGUACUUCUUGCUUCUUUGAGUUUUUCCUUAAAAACAGUACUGUGGAGAACAUAUUUUGAACUUGUUUUCUUAUGAGCUCUUCUCUGAAGUUACAUUCCCCUCAUGGGUCUCUUAUCUGCAGGUCAUGGCCUCCUCUGUUUCCAGUCUAUCGUGUCAUGCCCCACUCAUCUUGCCUGGGCUGAGGAAUUCCAAGAAUUCCUGUCAUUUCUAGGGCAUUAGAUACAGAGAGAAUGCAGCAAGAAGAGGACCAAGCUCAUGAGGAUAGAGAAUCCCUUCAGUCCCAGUGCACUCAUCCUUGGGAUGUGGCCUCUGCUACAGAUUAGUCCUGCACUUGGCAUCCUGUGUCCCUUAGCUGGGAAGACAGCUUAUUCUCCUUCAUUUUAUAGACUCCAUGAGCACCAGUUAGGGUUCCGGUAAGAAUGUGUUAGGAAGCUGCAACAGAGACAACUGCUCAUAAAGCACCAUGAAUGUAAUUAGCCAAAGUUAACAUAACAUCAUCUGCAACAGAUGCCAAACCCCCAGUUUGCCAAUAUUUUUAUUUCUUCCUUUAUGUGAUAUAUUCAUUCUAAAACUUUUGAUGUUGAGAAAUUGGCCAGGGACAGUUUCUUCAGGCCAAGCAGAAUCAGGAGAAUUCAUCCAGUCCUCUUUCUUGGCCUGAUCAUAGUUUGCCCACUCAGCUAAGCACAUACUGCUGAGAUGGACUAAGAAGCAAAUGAAGAAAACUGAAUAACUAUGUUGCUUGAUUUAGGCUAGGCAUGCAGUCAAUACUUGGCUCAUUGGAGAAGAAUUACAUUCCUGGUAUCAAACAGUAUCAUAUGGUCACAAUGUGGGGUCUUGAUAACUAAGAAUAAAUUCCAAAGGAUUUCCUCAGUGUAUCCAGAAAAAACCUACAAGACAAGAAUAGAACAUCAUAACCAUUUAAUCCUCUUCCCUGAAAGGGGCAUACCAGAGAAGAAAUAGACUCCAGUGAGACUCAUGUAGACUCUUAGCCAUUUGGGUCAGAAUGACCACCCAUGGCUAUCAGCAAUGUCUGCAUCUAAUAA
rnacentral:lncRNA from 1 species